AAAAAAAUAUAGGCAUUCUGAAAUGUUCGACUUGAUUUUAGUGUAAGUGUAAACAAUCGCGUGACACAAUUUGUAAAAAUUUCGAAAUUUUUAUAGUGAUUGCAAGGGAUAUUUUCCAUAUAUCAAGCAAUUUGAAGGUCUGGAGAAACUAUUUUCCGCAGUGGUGGAAUUCUACGCCUUUGCUCGCAAGGCCAAGACCCCUAAAUGCAUGAGGAAUUAACAAAUAAAAAAUCGUUCAAUGCAUGUUAAAAAGCUUGGCGAAUGUUGGUUCCAUCCCUACCCUUAUGGCACUGAGGUGGAAAUUGAAAGCUAAAAAAAGUGAAAAAAUAUUGUAAAAUUUAUAGACUCUAGAUAUUUGAAAAUAUAAAAAUAAACAUAAAACAUAAAUGAUUAAUAAAAUCUAUCAAAAUAAACAAAUAGAAAAUCUAUUUAAUUCAAAAAAAUAUGACUUUUGAAUCAAACAUCAAUCUCUUGUUGAAUCAAACAGAUCUCUUGUUGAAUCAACAAUACUAUUUUUAUCGAUCGAAGCUUUCAUAAGAGCUUUAUAAAGUUCGAGCUUACGGAGCUCUUUUGAAAACAACAAUAAUGGAUUGUUGAAACAACAAUAAUUCUUAUUACCGCCAAAACAAUGCGAAAUUCUUUUUGAAUUUAUGUCAAAUAUUAUUGUUUUUAAAAUAGUUUUU